UUUUGUAAUUUUGGUGUUGUUCAAAAUUCAUGUUGCAAUUUUGUAACUAUUUGCAAGUAUUAAGUUGCUACAAGAAAGAGAUUAUAUUAUUUGCAAUGGGAAAUGUAUUGUCAAUAAUGUGAACACAUAUUGUCUUGCAGAAUGUAUACUAUAAUUAUAUUUUGGCCAAAGACUUCUAUUAUUUAUUUUGUAGUUAUAUGAAACUUAUAUUGAUGUCAAUUGUAAUCAACAAUGUUAUUUAGAACCAACAUAUUUUAAUUUUUUAGUUUUAAAUUUAUUGAUCUAAAACCAUUUGUAAUGUGCAUGUGGUUAUUAUACAAUCCUAAAUGUCUUGUAGAAUUUAUUAUCUAGAGUUGAAAUUUUUAUUUACAAAAGUGGUUUAUAGUUAAAGUUUGUAUAUUUAUUUAUUUAUUUAUUUAUUUAUUUAUACUACAUUGACUUUUAAAUAAAAGAUAUAAACUUUGUGGUCAUAACGGUGUUAUUGUUGAUAAAAGACAAGAGCUCUAAAGAUGUUUAAGCAAAACUGAUGUUGAAUUUAAGAUAAUUAUUGUAAAAAUAUAAUCUUUUUAUUAUACAAAAUUCUUUUUUUAAUUGAAUAAAUUUAAGUAUUGGCUAUGUUGACAUAAAAAAAAAAUUAUUGAAAAUGUAAUGUGUACAUUGUUAAUACAAAUUAAGAAGUAGAUAAUAUAUUCCAUAUUAGAGAUUACAACAAUAAUUGAUAAUAUAGUCAUUAUGUUCUUUUACCCUUUUCAACUUUAUAAUUAAUAUUACAGAAUUUAUGCAAUCUACACCAAAUUUUAGUAGUAUAAUUGGAAAUAUUAUAUACAUAUAUACACACAUAUAUAUCAAAUUAACUUUAAUUUAAACAAUGUUUUUAUUUUUAGUAGAA
rnacentral:lncRNA from 1 species